CCACUACCAACCACCAAAUAUUUAUCUGACGUUCAGGCAACGAUCUUAUUUCAAUAAUAAAAUAAGGGUUAGAUGCAAGUUAGAUGCGUCUGACGUGUAGUAAGCUUCUUAAUACAGCCGAAUGUGACCAUUCUAAUGGAUAUAAAUGGUUUUACUGCAAAUUCUCCUUGUUUUUGAAAAUACCGGGAUCCCGGUAUUGCAUUUAAAAAUACCGGUAUUGAUAAAUACGUUUAAAAAGACGGGAUCCCGGUAUUUCGGGAUCCCGGGAUCCCGGUAUUGGAAGCCCUAGUCUGCGCCCUUUCUAGCAAGUUCGUCCGCUUCUUCGUUUCCGUUAAUGUCGGAGUGCCCUGGUACCCAUCUAACGUGUAUAUUCUGUAGACGCACUGCUUGGCCUCCUUUUGCACCUGCAGGUGGAGUGGUAUGAUGUCUAGCAGUGCAUCUAGGGCCGCUCCCGGUGUCGAGGAGAAGGCGCCUGUUGCUGUUAAACAAGCCGUGCGUUGCAGGCUGUUUAGAGUGUCUAUUGCUGUCUUUUGGUUGGUUUUGUUACACCAGACUGCGGAGGCGUAGGUGACAAUUGGCCUCACUACCGCUGUGUAUAACCACAUAGCAAUUUUGGGUCUUAAGCCCCAUCUUGCUCCUGCCAUUCGACAGCAUGACCACAUGGCCAUUUUCGCUUUUUGCAUAAUGUUUCUCAGGUGAGGGUUCCAAGUUAACUUUUGGUCAAAAGUGACCCCUAGAUACUUGACCUCUUCCGAGAACGGUAUUAUUUGUCCAUUAAGUCUUGGUUUUAUUAGUUUAUCGAGCUUCCGUUUCCUUGUGAAUGGUACUAUUACAGUCUUGCUCGGAUUAAUGGACAAGUCAUUUUCUCUACACCAUUUGAAUAUUGUGUUUAGAGCUCCUUGCAUUAGGUUGGAUAUGGUGCUGAGGCAAGGGCCUUUGACGAUAACUACAAGGUCGUCGGCAUAUCCUUGUGUGUCAAAGUCUUGGCCUGACAUGAUUGCAAGAAGUUGGUCCACUGCUAGGGUCCAUAAUAGUGGGGAUAGAACGCCUCCUUGUGGGCACCCUCUAGUGGUAUAAAAUGCAUGCUCUAUAUUAUUCAUGGUCAAAGUGGCUACUCUGUUCGAGAGCAUGCUAUGUACCCAUCUGGUGGUGAUUUCGUCUACUCCCUUUGAUGUCAUACCAUUGAGUAUGGUCUCUGUGGGCGUGUUGUCGAAAGCACCUUCAACAUCAAGGAACGCACAUAGAGCGGUUUGCUUUUCCUCUAGGGUUUUUUGCACCUUGUCAACCAGGUCGAGUAGGGCAGUCUCCGUAGAUUUUCCCUUUUGGUAAGCAUGUUGGUUUACGCUUAGUGGUCUCUCCACCAGCUAUUUCGCUCUAAUGUGCUGAUCAAUGAUUCUUUCCAUCGUUUUGAGUAAGAACGAUGUUAGACUAAUGGGUCUGAAGGAUUUAGGCUGUGAAUAGUCCUUUUUCCCUGCUUUUGGUAUAAAUCGUACCUUGACCCUAGUCCAUUGAUCUGGUAUAAUUCCCCACGCAAAACUUGCUCGGAAUAUUCUGACCAGAUGCGGGAGGAGGAGGUCCUGUCCUUGCUGUAAAAGCGCUGGAAACACUCCGUCUUCUCCCGCCGAUUUAAAUGGUUUAAAUUUUCCCAAAGCCCAUUUAAUUUUGUUUGGUCUAAAGAUGUUAGUUGCCAAAUUCCAGUCUAUAUUGCGUGCCCUGUGGAUUUGAUUAUUCCUUUGGGCGCAUAACUGUGUGUUACUGGUUGUGUACGAACCGGGGAAGUGGGUGCCUCUGAGCAGGUCUAGAGUUUCCUCUUCUGUGUUCGUAAAAGUGCCAUCUGGUCUUUUAAGAAGACCGAGGUAGUUGGUUGGUGUCUUGGAGAGUAUUUUGUGAAUUCCGACGCCCGAUCCGACCACUAGCAUUGCCCAGGAGGGACGACCCACCCACCAAUGAGACCCUGGGUGGGUUCGGCCCUGAUCCGCGGCGGCAGAUACAGGGACGACGGGGACGUGUAUGAUGGACUUGAGGUGUUGGCCAAUAGCCCAGCGUCGCAUACCUGAGCGUACCUACUCCCUCCUCCCCCCCUUAGCAUAGUUUGUCCAUGCCUUAAGUAUUUUAAUAU